AUCAUGGCUCAGGACGAACGCUGGCGGCGCGCUUAACACAUGCAAGUCGAGCGAGAACCAGGCCUUCGGGCCUGGGGACAGCGGCGAACGGGUGAGUAACACGUGGGUAAUCAACCCUCGGUAUCGGGAUAGCCCGGGGAAACCCGGAUUAAUACCGGAUGGCCCUUUGGAUUCUCGGAUCUGAAGGAAAAGGUAGCUUCGGCCUCCGACCGAGGACGAGCCCGCGGCGGAUUAGCUUGUUGGUGGGGUAACGGCCUACCAAGGCGACGAUCCGUAGCUGGUCUGAGAGGACGAUCAGCCACACUGGGACUGAGACACGGCCCAGACUCCUACGGGAGGCAGCAGUGGGGAAUCUUGUCCAAUGGGCGAAAGCCUGAGACACAACGCCGCGUGGGGGAAGAAGGCCUUCGGGUUGUAAACCUCUUUCAGGAGGGACGAAGCUACUCGGGUUAAUAGCCCAGAGGGUGACGGUACCUCCAGAAGAAGCCCCGGCUAACUCUGUGCCAGCAGCCGCGGUAAGACAGAGGUGGCAAGCGUUGUUCGGAUUUACUGGACGU
rnacentral:rRNA from 1 species